CAGCAGCCACGGUAAUGCGAAGGGUGCAAGCGUUAAUCGGAAUUACUGGGCGUAAAGCGUGCGUAGGCGGUGAGUUAAGUCUGCUGUGAAAUCCCCGGGCUCAACCUGGGAAUGGCAAUGGAUACUGGCAAGCUAGAGUGUGUCAGAGGAUGGUGGAAUUCCCGGUGUAGCGGUGAAAUGCGUAGAGAUCGGGAGGAACAUCAGUGGCGAAGGCGGCCAUCUGGGACAACACUGACGCUGAGGCACGAAAGCGUGGGGAGCAAACAGGAUUAGAUACCCCAGUAGUCCCUGUCUCUUAUAC
rnacentral:rRNA from 1 species